ACAUACGAUUAAAAGGCAACAUUAAACCAACGAUAGAUUCACUGGAAACAGAUGGGAAAAAGAAAUGACAGAACACAUGUUCCACGCUGCUGGGACUCGAUAUCUGAAAGCUGUCUGCAAAAUUCGCGGCAAACAGAAACUAUGAUAAAACGGAAAACACUGGAAUUCCGGCAGAAUUUGAUGUGUUAAUGGUAUCUUCAAUCCAAGACGAGUAAGAGCUAAUCCUCGUGUAUCCGCUGGGAUGACCUUUUUUGCAGCCUCGAUCCGAUCCAAAAGAGAUGAUUCCAAUCUGCUUCCACGUCCCAUCCGGCUGUUGGAAAUUCAUGGGGCCGCCACUGUCACCCUGGAGUAUUAAACCUACUAUGCAAGUUCCACUGCUAUUGGCUCCGCUAGUGCAAAUAAUUGCGUCCAUGAUGUUGCUGCCGUAAGUGAGACGGCAUUUAUCAUUAGAAAUAACUGGAACUGUCAUCUUGUGAAGUACAGGACUCAUGUGACGUGACUAUUGACAUAAUCCGGCUCGCUUGAACUCGCUACUCAAACGGGACUGAUAUAUUUUGUGCAAAUUAUCUUUACCCGAGAAUUUGACAGAGGAUUUCAGUUUAAUUAGAGCAAUGUCUCCAACCUGCAUAGUGGGAUUCCAGUCAGGGUGGACGAAAUUCUCACUGCUCGAGUAUGAUUUCUGGUUGUCUUCUGACACCUUGCGAUCGUGUUUGCCCAGGUCAAUAAAUCCUGAAAAGAGUAAUGUCGUAAAUACCCUGGUACGACGAGACAACGUGCAGCUGUGAGGAUCCAUUGGUCGGAAAUCAAACUUCCUCCGCAGGCGUAAGCAUUGCCUCCUUGCAUCCCUACUUGGAUGAAGGCUUGCCACAGAAGAACUCGUUGGCUAUAACCUGUUCUCCUCCAGCAAUCCUGUUGUUUUCCACGCCGGGCGAUAUCCGCUUGGUUUUAGCUACACCGCAGCCUGAAGACGUCUUACUGAUUCUAGUGCUGCCAUAUACUGCCGGAGCCACAGCCACAAAGAUGGUAACCAGAGUAAGGAGCCUCAUGGGACAAUGCGUUUGCAGUUUAGCAAACAUUCGGUUGAUCCAAGUGCAAUUCGUUCUCUGGCGAUGUUACAGAAAAAUAUAAUUCAUGAGCAUAUUUGUUGUGAAACAAACGAUGAUGCUUUUGUGGCAACGAUCCCGUUGACGAUUACAGCUAAAAUGCCGCUGAUGAUCAUUAAGGAAUCGAUGGCAGCUCUGUCACCUGGAAAAUUUACGAUCGAUAAUUGGUAGUAUAUCAGAGACGAUCAAUAGCUUACAAAUUUUGGUCAAACCGCAAUUAGCUAUCGCUUCCUGAUAGCUACUAAUUCUCCACGAAAAAAGUCCUAUUAACGUGAUACCAAUCAACACGGCGACGACUGCCAUUCCAGUGACGGCAUCACUCGAUUUAAACCUACACGAGCACACCGAAGAUGACUAGGUAAAUUCCUCCCCAGAGGAUAAUCCAUAUUAUGAUAAAUGGAACCCAUUCUAAAUAAAUGAAUAAUGCCGCUAUCUGUGGAUAAAUUAAUUGACUUCCUGAGGAAUAAAAGUACAACAUCAAAUUACCUGCAAACUGAACGCUAGAAGACCCGCAAGCACAUUGAUUAGCGUCACUUAGCCAUGAUGAAACAAAAUCGUCUUAAUUCCGAAUGCCAGUUGAAGCCAUAUGGAAUGCCAACCAAGCGUUCAACGACCAGUGCCACUGAUAAAGGAAAUGCUUAAGUGUCAAAGUGUCUUCUAUUACUAAUCAACUGUAAAAGGCCAGUACGUUUGCACGCAAUCGGAUUUAAGAGGCAUGUCGAAUGAAUCAUCCCCAUUGCGGUGGCGCCACUGUUUUUCCGGUAUGUUGCAAUGUUCUACACGUCAAUAUUUGAUUCAUGUCAUAGUACAAGGUAAACAUUCAUGUUCCAAAUGUUUUAAGCAAAGACGUUAGUCAUAGGAGGAGCUUUUGAAGCUAUAAAUAUGUUGAGAAUGACAACCAGACCUCCGCUGCAAAUCAUCAACGAGUCGAUGGCUACUCGGCCACCUAUUUCAAAAGAGAAGGUCAGUUAAAAUCCCUCCUGCAGUGUAACCAAAGUAUAGAAUCAUUUACUUACAUAAUCCAAUUUCGUUACUAAAUUGAAACCAUUCACAUCUAUCGAUAAACUCGCUGUACGAGCUUACGUUCCAAGCGUGCAACCCAAUUAAUGUGAAUCCAAUCAACAUGGAAUAGACUGCCAGAGCUUUGAUGGUACCAGUAUUCAGCCUACGUGUACAAAAUUUAUGGGAAAUUUGCGCUAUUGCGGUUAUCAACGGUAUCAGUAAAUUAACAGGUUUUCAUUCGUUUUUGCAGCAAGAAGCAAACAGGACGAGAAAGGCUCCACCCCAGAUACCCGUACAAACCAAAUCCGGGAUGAAGGUUGCAUCACUAACUGCUAGUGCUGCAAUCUGUGUGGGUAGUGUGGGUACCAAACGUUUAUAAGCUGAGAUGCAACCAAUAGCAUCAAAUAUGGCAAGAAAAUUAAAAGUUCAGUAAUAAAGAUCAAGCACCGGAUUACGAACAAUGCCAACCAAUUGCAUGUUAAAUAACAAAUGUUUUAUUUCAUUCUAUUUGGUUCAGGUUGACCUAAGCUGCAAUUAAAAUCAAAAUGUAAAAUCAA
rnacentral:lncRNA from 1 species